CCUCGGGAUAAACAGGAAAGAUACUUCAUUGAGUUUGCGAAAACCCACACUUGGGAUCCUUUGAUAACUGGGACUGUUCAAGCUAACUUCGAGACCAUCUGUCAAAAUCGGCUCAAAGACAUGGUUAGCACCGUGAGAACUACUAGACGCCAACCUAAAUGGAUUGGAACUACUCUAUGGACAACAAUGACAGAAUACUGGGACACUGAAGAAGCACAACAAAGGAGCAAAACAUAUUCUGAUGCCCGUAUGUCUGACCGUAAUGGCCUCGGUCCUCAUGUCCACCUCUCAGGGCCAAAGUCGUAUCGACAGAUUCAAGACGAAAUGAGGAAUUGGGAAGAAAAGUACGUAUUGGUGAGGAUUUCAUCAAGGCACAUACAAAGCCUGAUGGGACAUAUGUUGAUCGGAAGGCAGAGAAGAUAGCAUAAACAUAUGAGAAGAAUGUGCAAGAGAGGUUGUCUCAGCUCGAGGAAGAUCCUUCUGCCAUCUCAGAUGGUUAUUCACGGCCCCGGGAGCUAACAACUGAAGAAUAUACAGAAAUCUUUCUUCAGGUUACGUUUUAUUUUAACAAUACACAAAUGUUAUCUUGGAGUUUAAUUUGUCAUCCUCUAAUAUCUUAUUUUCUCUUACUUUGCAGUCCACUGAGAAAGAUUCAAGAGGAAAACCUUUUGGAGUUGGAAGCCUCCAUGACUGCAUUGUCAAUGGCAAGCAGAAGCAAGCAGGAGACACUUCUACCUUUGUGGCUAUGCAAGAACAGUUGAAGGAAGCUCAACGGAAGAUAGAGGA